AUUUUCCAUAUCUGAUCAGUACCUGCAAAAGUGUUUCAAAUGAACUUUAAGUAUGAUAGAACGUGCAAGUAAACUAUUUUGCAGCCACAAAAGGCAACAAGAAUACAUUCAUACAAAGCGUAGGGAAAACAAGAAAAUCAUGGGUAUUAAUGCUAACCCCUAUACUACUGAAAUAGGGCAUCAAUCAUUUAACUUUAUGUUUGGUAAUUCUUCAUGUAGUAGAACUUCAAAUUUCUGGAACUCUCUUGAUAGUUGAACAAAAUAUAAGAACUCUACCAUAAAGCAUUUAGGACAUUGUGAUCCACAAUCAAAAUUUCAUGCAGCUAAUCUUUUUUAAUGUAUGGGUUGACACAGGCAAAAAAGCUUCAUGGUAGCUGAAAAAGUAAGGAAAAGACAGCUGGUUGGCAACCAAAAGAAAAGGCUUUUAGAAUCAGGUGCUGUUGGAGUCGCAAACAUACAGCUACUGUUAUAUUAGAGUUACCAAACGGGUUGACCUAGCUGUUGGAGGUCAAAAAGCUAUAAGUUGGCUUCCAAAAGUUAAAUCAAACACCCUCUUAUAUUUGGUAAUGGCACUUACUAUUAGAUAAUGGUUGUUAUCCCAGCGAUUGUUUUAUGCCCAUGGCUCCAUUGCUAAUAGGCCUCAACAGGAAUGGCCCAUUCAUUUUCUAUUGUAUGACAGCCAAUACGUAAUGUAAUGGCUGUCAUUUAAGGCCAUGGUUCAAAGUAUUUUGAUAAACUUAAUGUCAAUCUCCUUGGUAUAAUAGCAAAAGCUCUAGCAGGAAAUGGCACUGAAAGCAAGUUUUAAUAGCAGAAAACAGAGAAAUUAAAUGGCAGAACGUAUGACAAGGAACAUUUAUUUUCACCAAUCAAGGGAGUUCCAGAUGAAACAUUCUCCAUGAGA
rnacentral:misc_RNA from 1 species